rnacentral:lncRNA from 15 species
CAACAUGCUAGCGCGCACACUGACGUGCAGUCGGUCGGCUGUGUGUCGACGGGUUACUAUGGUUACUAUGGUUACUAUGGUUACUAUAGUUACUAUAGUUACUAUGGUUACUAUGGUUACAGCUAUAGUCCAUGGAAAAUGAAACGACAAAAGCCAAGAGGGCUAGGUUUGGUCGUUAUUAACACGCAGUCAUAAUGAGACUGUCAUAAGACUGGUUCAGACUGCUGGCCUGGGUUGGCCUGGGUUGGCCUGGGUUGGCCUGGGUUGGCCUUGGUUGGCCUAGCAACAGUAUAUAGCGUUAGCAUUUUGUGUGCUAUGAAAUUAAAACCGAGUGGAUGUGAAGAGUCUAUUAUUUCUGUCCAUACAGCAACAUUAGAUUAGAUUCAGUUUUUAAUUAGGUUUAACUUUACUGUGAAGUUCAAGUCCCGUGAAAUACAGUUUUACAUCCAACCAGAGAGCAGACUAGUGCUGAGUGAGUCAGUGCCUCAUGUGCAGAUGAGGAUAUCAACAUGUGGACUUUAUAGACCGAGGUGAUAAAGAUGAGCAUAUACACUGAUGAACACAGAUAAGUAUCUAUUAUAUAUUAUAUAAAUGAUAUAUACAGGUAGAGUAUGUUUAUGCAGAGAGCUGUGCACAUAGAGCUGUGAGCAUAUGGGACUGAGGCUGUGUCCUGUAUCACUCACUACUCCCUAUAUAGUCCACUGUGUGGGACUCUAUGUAGUGACUAGUAGGGAAUGAGUGAGUGAUUUCAGACACAUCCUAAGUGAAUUUAUAUAAAAAGAAUGUCAAAAUGAAAAUGCUUAGCAACUUAAUAAUAAUAUCAUUUGAAAAAUGGAAAUGAUUUACUCCAUGUUGAUAAUACAAUGUUUGUUAUAUCAUUUUAGAUUCAUUAAUAAAAUAUUUGGGACCACCUGCAGCUGAAUCAUCAGACCAGGAACAGCCAUGCACCUCAGCUGCUCCGGUUUCCUCAGAGCCACCAGAAGAGACACAACAACAGCAUGCUGCUCUUCCUGCCAACCUCACAUCACAUUUUACACUAUCCAAUUUGCACACAAUGUUUUAUUGUUAGUUUCAUUUUUAGUUUUGAUUCUUUAGUGUGCACUUUCUGUUCUCAGAUGUUGCACUACUGUUAAAAAUAUGUUUGAAAGUUUAUUUUUUAUAUAUUUAUUAUUGAACAGGUUUAUUCUUUUGCACAUAUUGUUAUAUUGUUUGUAUUAUCAUUGUUUGAAUAAAUGUGCAAUUCUUUGGACAUGAGUUCUUUUCUUGUGGGGAUGGGGCGCUAUCAGUAAAGCUCGCCUAGGGCCCCAAAUGGUCUAGGACCGCCCCUGAUCACACACACACACACACACACACACACACACACACACACACACAGUGUAAUGACUCUGCUUUGAAUGUAUGCUUGUUUUUGUGAGUUAGCAUUAAGUCUGUUGUUCAUUAUUCAUCCAAUCACACUGUAUUCACAGAUGAAUCAGAGACUUUGACAGUAAAACAAUAAUAAUGUUGUAUUAACACUCACCCUGACUCUGACUUCCUGUCUCUCCAUCUGCUCUGUCGACUCAAAAUGGAGUCUGAACCCUGAACACUUUCAGUUUUGUCGUCCCCUCCCUGUUCUCAUGUACACUUCCUGCAGUGUUGUUCCUCAUUUACAGGAAAUCACAUGAUCAUCUCUCUCUGCUGGAAACACUCAAACUGAAAUAGAUAAAGUCCCCCAGCUAACUAGGUUAAGAUUGCUGUUCAGUCAUUUAUUUAGGUAUCAAGCUGCAGUUCACCAUGGUGGUUCUACUUAUUUCUUCUACUGUUUCUACUGAAUAAUUGUGUCUAGAACCAGUGGACCAUUGAAGUGCAGGAUGAUUGUCUGCUUGUUCUUUUCAUCAUUUAUAUUCAUGUUGAUCAUUUAUGUUUUUCAGAUUGCUGUCAUUUAAUUUAAUUUGGCAGUCAUCUUCUAAUGUGGCCCAGUGGUUCGCAACCUGGGGGUCAGGACCUCCACUAGGGGUCACCAAAGCCUCACAGGGGGGGUUGCAGGCCUUCUUGGUUUAAAAGGGUGGAAGAAAACUUAAACUUAACUUUUUAAAAUCUAAGAAUUUGU